ensembl:lncRNA
AUGUGUAGUUCUAAAUUAAAUAAUCUAAUUGUGUUUCAGGCAAUGGUAUACGCACGGGCUGUUUGGGUGGAGAAUGGGAAGCAGAUGGAAGGAGUUUUGCCAUUGAACUGGAUUGACACAGAGACCAAAGUGGUGCGAUGGCCUCUAAAAAACGUGUCUGUGGCACAUAAGCGCCUUUUACAACCACAAGAGGACUGGUUAAGCUUUGAAUUUGUUAAAGUCAAAGUGACAUCAGUAAGCCGACAGGAGUGUGAAAAAUAUAAUUACACCUCAGCUCAAACCGAAGAGGAGGACACAGUCAGUCAAAAGAGAAUGAAGAAAAGAAGGAAAUUUGAAGAUUAUGUUCAAGGGUCGGAUUUGUCUCCUGAGGAGGAUGAGUCCUUGCCAGACAAGAAAAAGGAGGAUACAGUGUUGCUUCCGGUUCCUCCACCAAAGAUUAAGCUCUCACAUAAGGGACAAAAUGCAAUGCUGCUCGAGUUACCUGCACCCCCAGAACUGGCUAACACCACCAUUAGACAUUUCAAUGAGCUUCAAUGCUGUUUUUCAUUUAAUUUUUUUUUAGGAUCUAUGGGUUCUUGCACACCUCAGCAUGGAGUUCGAAAGCCAUCACAGUCCGGGAGCAGAAAGAGUCGGGCAUCCUCAUCCAGAUCUAUGGGUUCUUGCACACCUCAGCAUGGAGUUCGAAAGCCAUCACAGUCCGGGAGCAGAAAGAGUCGGGCAUCCUCAUCCAGAUCUAUGGGUUAUCGCACACCUCAGCAUGGAGUUCGAAAGCAAUCACAGUCCGGGAGCAGAAAAGGUCGGGCAUCCUCAUCCAGAUCUAGGCGUUCUCGCACACCUCAGCGUGGAGUUCGAAAGCCAUCACAGUCCGGGAGCAGAAAAGGUCGGGCAUCCUCAUCCAGUGAGUCCAUGAUCAGUGGCAUUCUUCAUAGUUGUCAAUUCUCCUACCUCACUUAUUGACAUUAUUGCAGGAGCAGCUGUCUUUAAAUUUUAAUGAGCUUCAACUUUUUGUUUUUUUCAGGAUCUAGGCAUUCU